rnacentral:rRNA from 1 species
AGAGUUUGAUCAUGGCUCAGAACGAACACUGGCGGCGUGGAUUAGGCAUGCAAGUCGAACGAGAACGUUUCCUUCGGGAAAUUAGUACAGUGGCGAACGGGUGAGUAACGCGUGGGAAACCUGCCCUUUAGCGGGGGAUAACAGUUCUAACGAACUGCUAAUACCGCAUACGACCUUUAGAUCGCAUGGUCUGAAGAUGAAAGGUGGCCUCUCUUUGAAGCUGCCACUGAAGGAUGGUCCCGCGUCCCAUUAGUUUGUUGGUGGGGUAAUGGCCUACCAAGGCGACGAUGGGUAGCCGGCCUGAGAGGAUGUCCGGCCACACUGGGACUGAGAUACGGCCCAGACUCCUACGGGAGGCAGCAGUCGAGAAGCUUCCGCAAUGGGCGAAAGCCUGACGGAGCGACGCCGCGUGAGUGAAGAAGGCCCUAUGGGUUGUAAAGCUCUGUCAGAUUGGGAAGAAAAUUCCGUAAUUAAUGCCUACGGAACCUGACGGUACCAUCAGA